CUCCCUGUGGCGCAUUGGAUAGCGCGUUGGAAUUCUAAUCCAAAGGUCGUGACUUCAAAUUCCACCAGGGAUGGA